rnacentral:misc_RNA from 1 species
GAAUUGCGAUAACUAAUGUGAAUCGCGAAACCUGUGAAUCAUCCAGUCUUUGAACGCAAAUUGCACUCUGCGGCCAUCCGCAGAGUAUGUCUGUUUGAGCAUCGGCACCACACUCACCAAGCGGCGCGCGAGCGUGCGCGGUGGACCUGAGCGCUGACUGCGAGCCCGGCAACGGGCCAGCGGUCUCGCUUCAAAUGCAGACGGGACGCGCACAGCGAGGACCUGCCUCUCUUUUGCGACAGCGUGUUGCUACGGAAUGCUGUCUGCGUGAAGUUUGGCGUAUACAAUGGAUCCCGUGCCGUACCGAAUGAAGGGAGCGUGUCAUUCUCUCGCGAGAGUGGUGACACGCUCAAACCGUAAGCGCACUGGUCUCACAUCAGACAAGAUUACCCGCUGAACU